rnacentral:piRNA from 1 species
UCGCGUGGGAAGAAGAAGACACUCCUGGA